GUUAGGAGAAGGAAGCCAGCUGGACCGUAUUAUAUGGAUCACAAGAUGGAGGGAGGACCUAUCCUGGACAGAAAGUGAUCUCUCCCUAUGGAGGCUCCUCAGUACCUGGAGGACUCUGUAUACUAUUUGAGAAGAGGUGAUGCCACCAGCCUGACAGAGCAUGAAACAGCCCUACUGUUGUUCAACUGUCCCUUCACUUCUGUUUCCUCAUGAAUCCAAGUACUACCUCCACAAGGGCAUCUUGUCCACAGCAGUUAAAAGGGCCACGGUUUCAAAAGGUCUUAAAAAACAUAGCAACAAUACAUUCCAACACUUCCCUCUGAUUAUGGGAAAGCACCCUGCCCUCCAAGCCUAGUGCAUGGGUAAACUGCGGUAUUAUGGAGGAUUUGGCAGCUGAUUCCCUGCAGAUAACAGCUGCAGAUCUGGAUCCAUAACCUAGGAACCCUGAUCACUAGAUAACUGCUUCACAGUGCAUCCAG
rnacentral:lncRNA from 14 species